rnacentral:rRNA from 1 species
UCGAMWACSGRCGCCSGYCUCMAGGAGUGGRMGRAURUYUUGSMCRRRRRACCCUUAGAGUUUGAUCCUGGCUCAGAACGAACGCUGGCGGCGUGCUUAACACAUGCAAGUCGAACGUGAUCCAGAGCUUGCUCCGGUGAAAGUGGCGCACGGGUGAGUAACGCGUGGAUAAUCUGCCCUGGUAUCUGGGAUAACAUCUCGAAAGGGGUGCUAAUACCGGAUAAGCCUACGGUCUCUUCGGAGUCUGCAGGAAAAGGUGGCCUCUAUUUAUAAGCUACCGUAUCAGGAUGAGUCCGCGUACCAUUAGCUAGUUGGUGGGGUAAUGGCCCACCAAGGCUACGAUGGUUAGCUGGUCUGAGAGGAUGAUCAGCCACACUGGAACUGAGACACGGUCCAGACUCCUACGGGAGGCAGCAGUGGGGAAUUUUGCGCAAUGGGGGAAACCCUGACGCAGCAACGCCGCGUGAGUGAUGAAGGCUUUCGGGUCGUAAAGCUCUGUCAGAGGGGAAGAAAUGAGUCUGGCUAAUAUCCAGAUUUCUUGACGGUACCCUCAAAGGAAGCACCGGCUAACUCCGUGCCAGCAGCCGCGGUAAUAC